ensembl:misc_RNA 7SK 7SK RNA
GGAUGGGAGGGCGAUCUGGCUGCGACAUCUGUCACCCCAUUGAUUGCCAGGGUUGAUUCGGCCAAUGUGGCUGGCUAGGCGGGUGUCCCCUUACUCCCUCACCGCUCCAUGUGCGUCCCUCCUGAAGCUGCGCGCUCGGUCGAAGAGGACGACCUUCCCUGAUAGAGGAGGACCGUUCUUCGGUCAAGGAUAUACGAGUAGCUACGCUCCCCUGCUAGAACUUCCAAACAAGCUCUCAAGGUCCUGCUGGAGGGGAGCCCGGAAUUGGCCUCCUCUGGGGCGGAUGUUGAGCCUUUCAUA